GUCAGCGACCAUACCACGUAGAAAGCACCGGUUCUCGUCCGAUCACCGAAGUUAAACUAUGGGUGACCGGCUGGGAAUACCCGGUGUUGCUGACU
rnacentral:rRNA from 1 species